rnacentral:rRNA from 1 species
UACAGAGGGUGCGAGCGUUGUUCGGAAUUACUGGGCGUAAAGCGCGCGCAGGCGGCCCUUUAAGUCUACCCGUGAAAUGCCGGAGCUCAACUCCGCGCACGCCGGGGGAUACUGGGGGGCUGGAGACAUGUAGAGGCAAGCGGAAUUCCGGGUGUAGCGGUGGAAUGCGUAGAGAUCCGGAAGAACACCGGUGGCGAAGGCGGUCUGCUGGGGUCGAACUGACGCUGAGGCGCGACAGCGUGGGGAGCAAACAGG